UCCGGCCUCUGCAUCUAGAAGAUGCAUGCAGUCAUUUUAUUAAUUAUUCACAAAGAUCUUACAAAGCAAUACAUCAAUAUAUCUGAAGCCGCCCUCUUGACAAUAUUUGUCGCUACUCCUAUUUUUUUUUAAUAUUUUUACCACAUAUAGCGAACUCAUUUAGCCCAAUGUUAAUAUUUUUUGGUUUUGCACCUGUAUAUGGCCAUGUGUGUUGCUGGCAUUAAAAGAAACUACACAUCGUCCAUCGUGUUUACGUAUACAAGCAUUCCCUCUGUAUUAAAUAAUUAUAGCUGAAGAGAAUUCUUUACAACUAGAAUUAUUUAGAAACGGAGGGAGUAGUAGUUUUUUUUUUGCAAACAUACCACAAGUCGCAAUUGCACGUAAUUCCAGGCUGGAAGCCAAUUGUAUUUUCUUGCCCCACUCGGGCCCUCCCGUUCCUACAGAAUUAAUCGCGUUAUCUUUCAAAGUCUUCCCGCAAAAAAGAAAAAAGAAAAAACUUUUCACGUCGUGACAUCACGGCGGUGAUGGGGAGAGAGACAGGC
rnacentral:lncRNA from 1 species